rnacentral:rRNA from 1 species
UACGUAGGGUGCAAGCGUUAAUCGGAAUUACUGGGCGUAAAGCGUGCGCAGGCGGUUUUGUAAGUCUGACGUGAAAUCCCCGGGCUCAACCUGGGAAUUGCAUUGGAGACUGCAAGGCUAGAAUCUGGCAGAGGGGGGUAGAAUUCCACGUGUAGCAGUGAAAUGCGUAGAGAUGUGGAGGAACACCGAUGGCGAAGGCAGCCCCCUGGGUCAAGAUUGACGCUCAUGCACGAAAGCGUGGGGAGCAAACAGG